CACGUAGGGCGCAAGCGUUGUCCGGAAUUAUUGGGCGUAAAGAGCUCGUAGGCGGCUUGUCGCGUCGACCGUGAAAACUUGGGGCUCAACCCCAAGCCUGCGGUCGAUACGGGCAGGCUCGAGUUCGGUAGGGGAGACUGGAAUUCCUGGUGUAGCGGUGAAAUGCGCAGAUAUCAGGAGGAACACCGAUGGCGAAGGCAGGUCUCUGGGCCGAUACUGACGCUGAGGAGCGAAAGCGUGGGGAGCGAACAGG
rnacentral:rRNA from 1 species